rnacentral:rRNA from 1 species
CCUCGGGUACUUCGGUAACCGUGGGCACGCAGCCGUUGUGCAAGUCCGGUGGCGUCGGCGUGCACUUCUCCCCUAGUAGGACGUCGCGACCCGUUGGGUGCCGGUCUAAGGGUCGGGUGGUAGACUGCCUCGUCGCUUCGGCGCAUCGAGGCAGACCCCCGUUCUCCAGUCGCCGGCUGCCCGGCGGUACUCGCAUGGUAUCGGGCCGCAAAUUCGAACUGCGUCGGGCCCGUCGCAAGCGCGAUCAGUGUUUCACGGAGGUCGGACCUAGCGCCGUCCCCGUGCCUGGUCAGCUGUUGGUUGACGGUGUUCUCCGACUGGCCAUUGAACGUACGAUACCGGUCGGCGACGCUACUGCUUUGGGUAAUCUCAGGACCCGUCUUGAAACACGGACCAAGGAGUCUAACAUGUGCGCGAGUCAUUGGGACCGCAGGCCUAAAGGCGAAAUGAAAGUGAAGGUCGGCCUUAGCGCCGACCGAGGGAGGAUGGGCCGCGUCAAGAUGCGGCUUCGCACUCCCGGGGCGUCUCGUUCUCAUUCGAGAAGAGGCGCACCCAGAGCGUACACGUUGGGACCCGAAAGAUGGUGAACUAUGCCUGGUCAGGACGAAGUCAGGGGAAACCCUGAUGGA